rnacentral:rRNA from 1 species
AAGGGCACCACAAGAACGCGUGGAGCAUGUGGCUUAAUUUGACUCAACCCGGGAAAUCUUACCAGGUCCAGACAUAUUGAGGAUUGACAGGCGAUAGUAUAUAAAAUAUAUUUUUAUAUGCAUAAAAAUGAUAGUCCUUUCAUGAUUAUAUGAUAGGUGGUGCAUGGCAGUUCUUAGUUCGUGGAGUGAUUUGUCUGCUUAAUUGCGUUUCAGUAAAUAAAAUAUAUAAUAUAUUAUAAUAUUUAGUUCUGCCAUUUAUUUAUGGAUUUAAAGUGAACAUAUUAUAUAUAUUAUUAUAUAAUAAAUGAAUGCAACGAACGUGACCGUAACCUUUUAUUGCUAUUGAAAAUUAUAAUUAUAGCAUAAAAUUAAAGGAACCGCUGUCAUUACUAAAUAUGUGUUAAAAUAGAGUAAGAUUAUGGCAAUAACAGGUCUGUGAUGCCCUCAGAUGUUCUGGGCUGCACACGUGCUACAAUAAUUACAUUAAUAAGUAUAUAUACUUUAUAAUAUAUAAUAUUAUAUUACAACCUAUUUCGAAAGUAAAUCGGUAAUCAUUUAAAAAUCGUGAUUAAUUAAUAUAAAUAUAAUUAAUUUAAGGUGGGGAUAGUGUAUUGUUAAUUAUUACACUUGGCCUUAACUAGGAAUGCCUUGUACUCUUCUUUGGUUUAACAUACCAAGAGGAAUACGUCCCUGCCCUUUGUACACACCGCCCGUCGCUCUUACCGAUGAAUUAUAUUAUAAAUCUAAGGGAUUUAUUAUAAUUAAAAUAUAAAAAACUUAUAUACAUAAUGUGAUUUAAAGGAAAGAGAAGUCGAACAAGGCA